AAUAUAGUAUGACGGAUUUUUCGCUUUGGGCACACCCCCCACUGGAACUCUAGAAUCCGGCCUUGGCCGGGCUAUACGCUAGUAAUAAAAUAAUUCGGCUCGUUCGGGUAAUGUAAUGUAAUGUCCUCAAGGCGGUGAACUCAGACAGCUUGAAACGGAGUUUAGGCACUAAUAAAUGUUGACUAAUCGUCAAUCGCACGAUUGCUUGACCUUAAGUAUCUAGGUAAUGCGUCUCCCUUAACGGUUGCGACAAAUGGUCGAGUUACAAAUAAAAUAAUUAUUUUUAAAAUCAUUGGUGUCUGAAGUCCAUCGCACAGACACCAACUAUUUUGAUCUAUAAUAACUUUUGAAUGGGCAGACAUAGAGACUUAAUUCUGAAAGAUGAAAUCAUCGUAAUUUUUAGAUUGAUUUUUUAAGCUAAAAAUCUCUAGACUGAUAUAGACUGAUAAAGUGUCUAAUAAUUUUGCGUCAAUCGUGUGUAAAAAGAGUAAAGAUGCGCUUGUGACUUGAGGAGCAAUUUUGCAAUGAAUAAAUUCUAUUGAAACUAGUCACCAAGCUGAAAAAGUAAGUGGAGCAAAAUUUCUCCAAAUAUUUUACGUCUUACAAGCCUUCCAUUUGUUACCAGUUUUUCGAACGGUCAUCAAAGCCAGCAUGAAAAUCUCGCUCUUCCUUGUAAUCAUCGCCGUCGUGAUGAUUUUCGACCUCCUCCCUUCCGCUCAAGAGUGCAAGCCGUCGGAGGUCGAGACGAUAACCUUUUUUUCAAGCUAUACCGGGAUUGUGGGGCGAGUUAUAUCAAAAAAUCAAGCCAAAAAUUAGGAAUCACGUGGCGCUUAUCGUUCCGUUGAAUGGUCCAUGUGAAGAAAAAUAAUGACGGAAAAGUUCCCUUUUUUAGUAAAUUUUCCCUCCACGAGGGGAAAAUCAAGGCGCUCGUGGGUACUUUGACCCCCAAUAUUUUUCUUUAAAGGGGUCAUUCAAUGGAAUGAGAGGCCGGACCUUCCACCCGAAGAAUUGGCGCAUGGUGAAACAUAUUUAAACUCCGUGUCAUGCAAGGACUUCAACGCUGCGACUAAAAAAGAGGCGAGAAACCGGGCCCAAUGUCCAUCCACAUAUAGAAAGCCAUACUGCCUCAAGAAAAAGGGAUGGGGCACCUUCUGUGAGGAUGAAACCAAAAAACAGCCCUCAGACAAACCCUUCCCCAUGAAUUCGUGCAGUCCCGAUGAAAAUUACAACUGCAAGUGUAACGACAAGGACUUUUGCAACGGUCGCUUCUUCUUCCCCGGAAAUGAAACUGGCCCCGAGGUCGGGAACGAUUCGGCGAGACGAGCCCCAUAUUCGGUCACCUUCUUCCUCAGCGUCGUAAGCUUUCUUGUCGGUGGAAACUUCUGAAUCGAGGCGUAGAUUCCAAAUUAUCUAGAAAAUUUCAUCUCUUUGGAUCAUUUAAGGAGGCAGGAAAUUCAUGAUUUUUGCAAAAUACACUAAAUUUACAUAUGUAUUGGAUGUAAAUUUAUCUAGUUGGAUACAUAAAUAUAGGAGCAAAAUUACUAGAAAUCAAUCCGGCAAAUUUUAUUGUUCAGACGUAACAAAAAAUAGGUGCUAUGAUAUAAUCAUGUCAAAAGUAUGAAAUUGAUUACGCGAGGUGACUUUGGUUUAAGACUUGUUUAAAUCGAUUUAGAACCAAGUUAUAAUCAUGAAAUCGAUCGGGUGAGGUGAAGUUUAGACGAAGAACAUUGGAUAUCUUCUGCCAUUAAAUUACAAAAUUUACAAAAAAUUGUUAACAAAAUCUGAUUUCCUGUAUCGAAAGCUUGAAUAAAUUGCUUUUAUCCAUGUA